AUAUUGAGCGUUAAACCGACUUCAAGACGCGCUCAGUCAAUCUGUCCACUGAACGCUUCCUCCUGCUUCGGUGGACCACUGCCAAAGUUUUUGAGAGUCGUCCUGAAGUCCCCAGCGCGCAUGCACACAAGCUGACCACGGGGUGUGUGACGACUGAGUGGAGGGCGGUGGAGAUGGCAUCCUCUACGGAUCUGUUAUUUCAGGAUGCAAAGUGGUGGUGAUCCAGGCUCGCUCUGAUGUUGUCGCUAAUGUGCUGGAGACGACGCUGGCAGUCUUGAAGCAGGGAGUGGGGGAGCAUGAGGAGACAGCUAUCCCAGAGGAAGACAGAGGAGUUAUAAACAGAAAAGAUUCAACUGUGGCCUUUGGUGUGGGGACCAGAACAUCAUUAAAAUUGCCUUAUCAUAACUCAAACUGUUGGCCAGCCCCCACUGUGCCCUGCCCCGAGGCCUUCGUCCUCUAGGUUACUCUAAGGAAAAAGAAAGCAGGCGGCUGUAUGUUAGCUUAAUUUUGUAGACAAUAUUCAGUCAGAUUAGUGAUAUGUUUAUUCCUCAUACAUUUGUCUUUAUUUGUCCCAGCCUACUGGUGCAGGGUGCAUAAUAUGGCAUUUUAUAAUAAUUGUAAAUGAACAUUUAAAUUACACCAUAAGUUUAGGAAGGAGAAUUUAUUCUGCAAAUCAUUUUGAUGUCAGACACUGUUCUUCAGUUAUU